UGCCAGCAGCCGCGGUAAUACGGAGGGUGCAAGCGUUGUUCGGAAUUAUUGGGCGUAAAGCGCGUGUAGGCGGUUCGUUAAGUCUGAUGUGAAAGCCCGGGGCUCAACCCCGGAAGUGCAUUGGAAACUGGCGAACUUGAGUACGGGAGAGGAAAGUGGAAUUCCGAGUGUAGGGGUGGAAUCCGUAGAUAUUCGGAGGAACACCAGUGGCGAAGGCGGCUUUCUGGACCAAUACUGACGCUGAGGUGCGAAAGCUAGGGUAGCAAACGGGAUUAGAUA
rnacentral:rRNA from 1 species